UCAUGUAGUCCAUAGGUUUAUGGAGUACCCAUACAAUGGAGUAAAUCUCAGGGCCAGCCACAGUAACACUGGUACUGGUUACUUUGGCUCACAAAACCAAACACCAUUAGUGCCAAAUGAGAAAGGUGAGAGCAGUUAAUUGGUUUAUAGAAAGCAAUGGUAAUUAAGUUUCACAAGAUUUAAGCAGAGAAGAAAAGCAAGGCAAAGAAAUCAAUUAUUCAAAUGCUGCAUUUUCACAUCUCCUGAUUUGGCAAUGCAUUUAAACGAAGUAUAGGAGGAAUUCCCCCUAAAUCAUCAGAACUUAUGACACUGGAAACUCAGCAUAGCCAGACAAAUUCAUCUUUAAAAGAGAAAUGAAACACUACACAUGUGCAAAGUACAAUUUUUCAGAAACUAUUGUCUGAAAGGAUUAAGAAAAUAUCUGCUCUAAGUAUCUUCAAUCAUUUGCCACCAAGUUCUACAUGUUUAUUUUAAAUGGCUUGUUUUCUUCUCUUGACUUUUUAGAAAAGUGGAAUUGGUAGUGAAUGACCCAGCCUCUGCAGCUCACCUCUCAGAAGUAAGGCAGACGCCUGCCUGCCCAGUUGCUGCCUUUAUUAGCCACAGGUGGUCUGUUCUGCAGAGCUUCACCUCAGCACCACUGCUUGCCAGAAAUGGGUCUUGCAUUUGCAGAUUAUUUUGUCACAGAUUAAAACCUCAAGUCUGUAUUUGUGGGGUGUGUAAUUGUCUUUCACUCACAACUUCUAUUCAUUCCUUCACAGCAUAUUAGUGCUUUAGUGACAAUUUCCUCUUACAGGUCAGUGAUGUGUUUGUAAUUUCCCUCAUAAAUUGUCUUUUCUGCCAUUUCUCUGAGAGAUCUAGGUCCAGCUUACCUGGCUUCUGUUGAAACCCUGGGUGGCUCAUUACCAAGCCUGAGCAGCAAGCUGUGAUGCUCUGUGCUCCUUCAAGGGAUUUACAGUUCCUUGGUCAUGUGUGUUAAUGGAUAAAUUUGAAAACUUUGCAGCUGCGAUCCUGCCAAGCAUUUGCGCAGCGAGGCCCAGUCCCUCCUGCCUGCGUGCGUCCCUAUGGUAAAAAGUGGGUACAGGGAACUCUGCUGGAAAGUCUGUGAGGGGCUGAGGAGGGAGGAGAAGAAGAGUAAAAGAAGAGAAGUUGAAAAUGGUUGCCAAUUUUGUUUUUAAGCCUACGAGCUUUGUGUGGUUUGGUUUAGAAGAUUUGUGGGAAAUAUUUGUAGCAGGCAGGAACAAGACAAGAGACAGAGGAGGGGGGGAGCAUGACCCUCCAAGUCAAGCAACCAAAAGUUAAUGCAAUUACCAACUAUGAAAUGUGGAGCAGAGGGACUAAUUCGAUCAGAGAGGCCAAAGGGAUAAUUCCUGGAGACAAAGCAUUGCAACGCGGAAAUGCGGGCUAAUCAACUGCUUUAUCAAAAGAAAAAGGAAACCGUUCCCAAGCCUUAACUAAAAUCCCCAGUUGGUUCUUCAUCUUUUCAGGGCUCUGGUUUUUGCCUAGCAGCGUUUGUUCCGUCUCACAUUUGUUUCACUGCUUCUGGUCCCUGCACAGAGCUGUUUCCCUGGCUCCUGGCUCUCCGCUUGUGUCAAACCCGCCUCUACUCUUGGUCUAAGGAACUCCUCGGUCAUUAAAGAGGGCAUGCAGAGGGAAAUAUUCAUUCUAUUUAAUGUCCAAGUCUACUUUCCAUAAUUAUCUGGAAUAGACCAAGACUAUCCAGAGCCACUUUGUGCCUGCAGGAUUUUUCAGAGCAGGUAUUUGGUUCCUCUGAUGGAAAGCGGCUGCUCCGUGAUCUCCACUGAGCUCCGGCGUGCCUGGGACCCUCUCAGGUCUGCAGAGCGGCAGAUCCAGACUUCACCAGGUACAACCCAGCAAAGCAGACGUCUUCAGACUCAGACUUCUGCUUCCAGCUAAGCAGGUGCUGCUGGUACGACAGAUAAAAUGAGCUGGCACAAAGGAAAGAAGGAACUGACAGAAGAAAGCACAGGAGAGGGGAAGCAUGGCCAAAAAAAGCGAGAGCAGCUCUUCAAGAAGAGAUUUUCUCCACUGAGCCUCUUCUCUGGGUCUCCCAAAAAUAAAUUCCCGCAGGGAAGGAGCCCGCUGGCAGAGGACAAGCGGAGGCGCUGGCGCAGGAGAGGCUGCGGGCGGCAGGAGGAGGCGCGCUCGCUGCCGCAGCCCGGAGCCCCGCGGCGCUCGGGGGGGAUGUGUCCGAGCUCGGGGGGGAUGUGUCCGAGCUCCGGGAGGAUGUGUCCGAGCUCCGGGAGGAUGUGUCCGAGCUGCGAGAUCCUGCUCUGCCGGCCCUGCGGGACCCUGCACUCGCAGCGCGCCUUCAUCGCCCACAGCCUGCUGGACCACUACGACCCCGCAGCCCUGCCCUGCUGAGCGCUCCGGGCCGCGGAAGCUUUGGGGGCCCCGAGCGCAUCCCAAAGGCGAAGCUGGAGCCAUGGGGAUGGCGGAGCCCGGCCCGGCAGCAGCUCCGCGCAGUUCAGCCUGUACGCAUCACUCAUUUAACCAGCGCGCACCCGGUAAACAGAGCUGUAACCUAAACAUUCCUCAGCUGUUAAAGACAGGGAAUUGUUUCAGAAAUAUGCUCCAGAGCUUUCAUUCUCCUCUCAAGGAAACAAAGAUUAUCCCAUUGAACUGCAAACGCGAGCGUGACGAUUACACGCAGAGCCACUUGCACUGCCUUUGUUUGCUUGUGUUGUUUGCGGUCUGGAAUAUUAAAUGUUUUAUUUCUAAAUGAA